UAGGGAAUCUUCCGCAAUGGGCGAAAGCCUGACGGAGCAACGCCGCGUGAGUGAUGAAGGUCUUCGGAUCGUAAAACUCUGUUAUUAGGGAAGAACAAAUGUGUAAGUAACUAUGCACGUCUUGACGGUACCUAAUCAGAAAGUCACGGCUAACUACGUGCCAGCAGCCGCGGUAAUACGUAGGUGGCAAGCGUUAUCCGGAAUUAUUGGGUGUAAAGCGCGCGUGGGCGGUUUUUUAAGUCUGAUGUGAAAGCCCACGGCUCAACCGUGGAGGGUCAGUGGAAACUGGAAAACUUGAGUGCAGAAGAGGAAAGGGGAAUUCCAUGUGUAGCGGUGGAAUGCGCAGAGAUAUGGAGGAAAACCAGUGGCGAAGGCGGCUUUCUGGUCUGUAACUGACGCUGAUGUGCGAAAGCGUGGGGAUCAAACAGG
rnacentral:rRNA from 1 species